rnacentral:lncRNA from 1 species
CCGCCACUCCGCCACCGGUUUCUACUCCUCCUCCCACUUCAUCACCGCCCCCAGUGACAGCUUCUCCACCCCCAGUUUCAACUCCUCCACCCAGUUCUCCUCCUCCUGCAACUCCACCACCUGCUUCUCCUCCUCCUGCAACUCCACCUCCAGCUUCUCCACCUCCUGCCACUCCUCCACCAGCUUCUCCACCUCCCGCCACUCCACCACCUGCAACCCCACCGCCAGCAACUCCUCCUCCUGCUACCCCACCACCAGCUCCAUUGGCUUCUCCUCCAGCCACAGUCCCAGCUAUCUCUCCAGUACAAACACCAUUGACAUCGCCACCAGCUCCGCCGACCGAGGCCCCAGCACCUACCCUCGGGG